rnacentral:lncRNA from 1 species
UGUCUGUACAGCCUGGCUGGACUCACCCCUAGAGUGACCCUUCCUGGUUCAAGCACCCUCACCAAGGGGACCCUAGGCAGAGUCUCCUCAUCUGUCUCCCCUGCUGUCCUGGGGGACUCUGUGCUCCAGAGAGCCGCCCCCGUCCAGCCAGAUCCCCAGCCUGUGCCUGCCACUGUGAUCACCUGCCUCUCAGCCCUGUAAAAGGGGUCCUUGUAAAAGAGGAGCCCGAGUGUUCCUCUCCCACCUGCCCCACUGUGGGCCUCUUCCUCCUGUGAGCUGGGCUCCAGCCUCUGACCUGUGCUUCUCUGGUCCCCAGCAAGCUCAGUUCAUGCCACAGCCCUGGCCAGGAGCUCUGUCCUCCUUUUUGACCUGUCCCCCUCUGAGCUCAGGCCCUGAAGGGAGGCCACACAUUGUGAUGCAACAGAGUGCCUGUGACCUGCCUGGGAGAUGGCCAGUGCCCCCGACCUCUGCCCCACAGAGGACCACAGGCAGCAGUAAACGCCUCCUGCUCAGAACAGAAAGAGGCUCCCGGGGUCUCUGGCCUCCUCUGCCAGGAGCCAGCUGUUCGGCCACCAGCUUCUCCCUCCCCUCUCCACCAGGAAAUAAAUUAUGA